CAGAAUUUGAGACAUACAGAAUUACCAUAGGCCCAUUAGAAUCAACAGUCUUUGCCAAACUGGAUCCACACUACAGAACUCAUGAAGAUGUUUGCAUACUGAAGAAGAGUGCUUGGACAAAUACUGAAACCCUCUUGGUGCCCACUACACAGGCAGGGGUGUCCAGACCUGCUCUAGGAAAGCCAGUGUUCUGUGGAGUUUAGCUCUAACUCACCUGCCUGGAACUUCUAACUAAUGAAAUUGAAGUAUCCAAAUGAAGACCCUAGCAGUAUGGAGUAUAUGGAUACAGACGUUGGCAGCAAUCAGGAGGUGAUCCGGAAGACUCGUGGGAAUCUAUUUGAAGCUGCAUCAUUGAAGACAGUUCAGCAGAAGUUGGAGUUUUAAAAGAUAAAGUUCUUCAGGACCUAGCAGUUUACAGUCUGCAAAACCAUGUUGCUGGGACUGAUAUAUGGACUGAACUUGAGCAACCCUCCUGAACUCAGGUACACAUUUGGAGUACUGAAGAAGUUAUUUCUGGAGCCAGUUCCUGUUCCUGGAAUAAGGUUUGAUUGGUUACCCAUGAAUGCCAAUUAGAAAAUGAGUAGUUUGAUAUUUCUGCU